UGCCUGUCUAUUGAGGGUUAGUGAGGAGCUAUGUCGAGGCCAAAAGGUGUCGUGAAUGGAAAACAGGUUCAUAUUUCUGCUUGACAAAAGUGAGCUUGGAAAAA
rnacentral:rRNA from 1 species